CACUACCAUCAACAACAGCUUCAGCAGCAGCAACAACAACACUACCAGCAACAGUUACAGCAGCACCAGCAGGAGCAGCAGCACUAUCACCACCAACAGCAGCUGGAGCACCAACAUCAACAGCAGCACCAGCAACAUCAACAGCAGCAGCAUGAACAUCAUCAUCAUCACCAGCCUCAACAGCAGCAGCAUGAAGAUCAUCAUCAGCAGCAUCAACUGCAGCAUCAUCAUCAUCAACAGCAGCAGCAUCAACAGCAGCUGCAGCAGAAUCAACAGCAGCAGCAGCAUGAACUUCAUCAGCAACAGCAGCAACAGCAGCAGUGUCAGCAGCAGCAGCAGCAGCAACAGCAGCAGCAACAGCAUGAACUUCAUCAUCAGCAGCAGCAGCAGCGUCAGCAGCAGCACCCGCUGUGCGUGGCGCGCAGUGAGUCCGCGAGUCCCAGCAGAGGGCCCCCCGCCAGUCCCGCCCGAGCGCCCGGCUCUGCCGAGAGCAAGGCCGUGCUCCUGCCCUACCCCUGGCGGUCGUGACCCGUCGGGACGCAGGUCAAGUUCAGCAGCAGCGGCAGCAUCUUCAUUCAGCAGCAGCAUCAGCGGCACCACCACCACCAUCGUCAUCAACAACAACAGCUGCCACAGAGUCUUUGCUUGUUGGCAUUUUAAUCAGAAACACAUUUUAACUCGCCGCGCUCACGCGCACGUCUCUGGCCGUCUCGUCUCAAUGAAUCUUAGCGUGUUCAUUAACGAAUCAAUUAGCUCGUGGGCCCGCCGAUCGCGUCCGAGAAAGUCCCCGUCACUCGCGACGCCCGUCAACCGGAGACGGCCCCGACCGAGGCCGGGGGGGGUCGGUCGAGGCGACGGCGCCACUACCGCGUGAUGUCACCACGCUGUCAGACGACGGCGCCACGCGGUUCGUGGUCGUGGCAGCCAAUUAGGCCGUGGCAGGGUUUUUCGUCUGGUGGGUCCGCAGGGCCAUGCGGGUGUUGCAGCGGGCGGCUGAGCUACGGCCAAACGAGGGCUCUUGACGCGUCGAAAUGAAGCGGUUGCCGGAUCGUUGGCCCCUUGUAGGGGCUUUGUGACGUCGCAUGACGUCACAACGCCUCUACCCGUGACGUCACGCGGCCCGGCAGUGUCUGCUGAGGUUUCCCACCGGUGGAAAGUCUCUCCAGAGUGCAACCACAGUCGAUCUUCCCCACAAAGUGGUACUCGUUUUAUCGACGGUAGAGGAAGGGCUGAUGGGCCAGGAUUUUAACCCGCAACCUUGUGAUCGCGAGCCGCUCGCUGUACCGCUGGCCCGGUAACCUGGGUGAAGACCCCUGGCCAAUGGCGUCAUCGUGCCUAGGCUGCGUUCAUUGGCUCCAAGAGGCUUGAGCAUUUUAAACUCUUAACGCGUGAUAUUAUAUGAGAUAUAUAUGUAUGCCCUGAUAUCACGUGUCUGCUUACAUUAGAAAAGUACUGCGAACUUAACACUUCCACGGCUCACGUAAAGUUCAAACAUCGUGUACAUAGGUAUAUGCAUUCACGCGACAAUACGCACGCACACACAUGAAGCCCAGCCCACGGCGAUCGCUGUCCAGUCGAGAGCUGUAAUAUCUGUGAGACGGGAUCGGCUUGCACCAUGGGUCUCUAUGCGAGUCACUCUGUCUAUGUGUGAGUCUAUGGGUCUCUGUGUGAGUCUUCACUGAAUGGGGCUAGCUUUGCACCAUGGGUCUCUAUGCGAGUUACUCUGUCUAUGUGUGAGUCUAUGGGUCUCUGUGUGAGUCUUCACUGAAUGGGGCUAGCUUUGCACCAUGGGUCUCUAUGCGAGUCACUGUCUCUAUGUGAGUUGCUCUGUCUCUGUGUGAUUCUAUGGGUCUCUAUGUGAGUCUUUUGGUCUCUGUGUCAGUCUGUGAGUCUCGACGCGAGCCUUCAAUGAAUGGGGCUAGCCUUGUCCCAUGGGUCUCUAUGCGAGUCACUCUGUCUCUGUUAGCCUCUGUGUGAGUCUGUGGGUCUCUCCAUUGCAGCGGACACACAUGCGCCAUCUGUCUGAGUGACGGGGAGGGGGCGAAAGGAAGGAGAGAAAUGCCUCGACCACGCUCGCUAGUGCGUGUGUCUGCGUGUGUCAGUGUGUCUAUGCGUGUGUGUCUGCGUGUGUCAGUGUGUCUGUGCGUGUCAGUGUGUCUGUGCGUGUGUGUCACCACCAGAUAACGGCUCAGACCUCCCCACCCCCAUAUCCAAACCCCCUGUCAAUGGGCACUGCAAUGAUGACCGACUGCUCACCAACCGAGUCAAGUCGACACCACGCAGCAGGGGCUGCAGGGACAACCCGUGGGAGUUGGGGGUGGAGGGGCGGGGGUGGGUCCCGGUGUAUUAUGGGUAAAUUACGCGAAGCCCCCCCCCCCCCUCACGUGGUCACGGAUAAGAGGAGCUCCACUCUCGCGCUCCCGAUCCCACGCCACUGCCGGCGACCGCGCAGCGCUGAGCCGCCUGGUGGCGCUGCUCCACGCUGCGUUCACAGAGAAGGGCGAUCUCGCCACGCCGCGGUCCAUGAUUCCGCCCUCACCAAUUUGCUGCUGCUGCUCCCUCAUUCAAAGACAAAUCAGCUCGUUCGGCGCCGCACGCGCCCGAUGAUUGUUCAACGCGUCCCACGUGACGCGCCAAGCAAUUAGCGGUGUCGCCUUCACGCGCAACACGCGCAAGCACACAGACGCCGAGAUCCCAAUGUUCAUUUGAAUCGGCGUUGUUAAAGCAGAGAGCGUUGCGUGUCUGUAAUCUACCCAGACAGCACCGGGAAGCCGUUGACCAGUCGGACUGACCCCCCCGCCCCCCACCCCCUCGCCUCCCCCCAUCGCCCCCAUGUGGCAGCACCCUGCUGACCCCGUGCGAUUUGCUUGUAUCAGAACCGUCGCUAUUCGUCCGUUCUGCGGGACGUCACAAGCCCCUCCACGUGGCUUGAGUCGGGUCGGGUAGGGGGGGUGGGGUCUGUGCCCGAGCCUUGAAAUGACCGAGCUGAUGUUGCACGAUACGGGUUUGAUUGUAGAGCGACCUCAUGAUGUGAACGCCGCGGUGUUUUUAUUUAUUUAAGAAUGUAUUUAUUUAUUUCCAGAUGUGUUCGCUCGUUCAGGCAGAAACUUGAUAUUCACGCAGCCUUUCGCCUUAUGGAGUCAAGCUGAUCACCUUCACCCCCUGCAAAGAAAUGGAACAAUCCAAGCUUAGCUGAUACAGUACUGUGGGUGACUUGGAGUAUACCAUUUGAGCGCGGUGUGUGUGUGUGGGGGGUAUACGCUGGUAGUGAAUGUGCUCGUUUGUCUUACAGAUGCACGCGAACUGCCAUGCACGGGUAAGCGUGCGCGGUUAAUCACCCACCAUGUGUAAAACACGACGUCAUAGCGCACAAUCACGCGUCGUCCAUCGCGUAAGUCGACACGAUCAGCAUGAAUAAUGAAUAGAGUGUAGGCUUAAUUAUAAACAAUUAAACCAAGGGUACGUAUCCGUG